GUACGCUAUUCAGAGUUUGAUCCUGGCUCAGGACGAACGCUGGCGGCGUGCCUAACACAUGCAAGUCGAACGGGGCUAUUAUGGAUUUCUCUUCGGAGAUUGAAGUUUUAGCUUAGUGGCGAACGGGUGAGUAACGCGUGAGAAACCUGCCUUCCAGUGGGGGACAACAGUUGGAAACGACUGCUAAUACCGCAUAACACUUUAGUACCGCAUGGUACAGAAGUCAAAGCUUUAUGUGCUGGAAGAUGGUCUCGCGUCUGAUUAGCUAGAUGGCGGGGUAACGGCCCACCAUGGCGACGAUCAGUAGCCGGUCUGAGAGGAUGAACGGCCACAUUGGGACUGAGAUACGGCCCAG
rnacentral:rRNA from 1 species